UUGUAGGACACUCUAUACGGAGUUACAAAGGACGACAUUAGACGAAUCAUCUGGAAAGAUGAAUCAAAGAAGGUAAUAAUCCUGUAGUCGAAAAUGUUGUCUCUCUUGAGUGGAUCCUGAGUACGACGGAGCACGUGAAAUUCCGUCGGAAUCUGGGAGGACCAUCUCCUAAGGCUAAAUACUCUCUAGUGACCGAUAGUGAACCAGUACCGUGAGGGAAAGGUGAAAAGCACCCCGGAAGGGGAGUGAAAUAGAACCUGAAACCGUGUGCUUACAAGUAGUCAGAGCCCGUUAAUGGGUGAUGGCGUGCCUUUUGUAGAAUGAACCGGCGAGUUACGAUUUGAUGCAAGGUUAAGCAGUAAAUGUGGAGCCGUAGCGAAAGCGAGUCUGAAUAGGGCGCAUAAGUAACAGGUCGUAGACCCGAAACCAGGUGAUCUACCCUUGGUCAGGUUGAAGUUCAGGUAACACUGAAUGGAGGACCGAACCGACUUACGUUGAAAAGUGAGCGGAUGAACUGAGGGUAGCGGAGAAAUUCCAAUCGAACCUGGAGAUAGCUGGUUCUCUCCGAAAUAGCUUUAGGGCUAGCCUCAAGUGAUGAUUAUUGGAGGUAGAGCACUGUUUGGACGAGGGGCCCCUCUCGGGUUACCGAAUUCAGACAAACUCCGAAUGCCAAUUAAUUUAACUUGGGAGUCAGAACAUGGGUGAUAAGGUCCGUGUUCGAAAGGGAAACAGCCCAGACCACCAGCUAAGGUCCCAAAAUAUAUGUUAAGUGGAAAAGGAUGUGGCGUUGCCCAGACAACUAGGAUGUUGGCUUAGAAGCAGCCAUCAUUUAAAGAGUGCGUAAUAGCUCACUAGUCGAGUGACACUGCGCCGAAAAUGUACCGGGGCUAAACAUAUUACCGAAGCUGUGGAUUGUCCUUUGGACAAUGGUAGGAGAGCGUUCUAAGGGCGUUGAAGCAUGAUCGCAAGGACAUGUGGAGCGCUUAGAAGUGAGAAUGCCGGUGUGAGUAGCGAAAGACGGGUGAGAAUCCCGUCCACCGAUUGACUAAGGUUUCCAGAGGAAGGCUCGUCCGCUCUGGGUUAGUCGGGUCCUAAGCUGAGGCCGACAGGCGUAGGCGAUGGAUAACAGGUUGAUAUUCCUGUACCACCUAUAAUCGUUUUAAUCGAUGGGGGGACGCAGUAGGAUAGGCGAAGCGUGCGAUUGGAUUGCACGUCUAAGCAGUAAGGCUGAGUAUUAGGCAAAUCCGGUACUCGUUAAGGCUGAGCUGUGAUGGGGAGAAGACAUUGUGUCUUCGAGUCGUUGAUUUCACACUGCCGAGAAAAGCCUCUAGAUAGAAAAUAGGUGCCCGUACCGCAAACCGACACAGGUAGUCAAGAUGAGAAUUCUAAGGUGAGCGAGCGAACUCUCGUUAAGGAACUCGGCAAAAUGACCCCGUAACUUCGGGAGAAGGGGUGCUCUUUAGGGUUAACGCCCAGAAGAGCCGCAGUGAAUAGGCCCAAGCGACUGUUUAUCAAAAACACAGGUCUCUGCUAAACCGUAAGGUGAUGUAUAGGGGCUGACGCCUGCCCGGUGCUGGAAGGUUAAGAGGAGUGGUUAGCUUCUGCGAAGCUACGAAUCGAAGCCCCAGUAAACGGCGGCCGUAACUAUAACGGUCCUAAGGUAGCGAAAUUCCUUGUCGGGUAAGUUCCGACCCGCACGAAAGGCGUAACGAUUUGGGCACUGUCUCAACGAGAGACUCGGUGAAAUCAUAGUACCUGUGAAGAUGCAGGUUACCCGCGACAGGACGGAAAGACCCCGUGGAGCUUUACUGUAGCCUGAUAUUGAAAUUCGGCACAGCUUGUACAGGAUAGGUAGGAGCCUUUGAAACGUGAGCGCUAGCUUACGUGGAGGCGCUGGUGGGAUACUACCCUAGCUGUGUUGGCUUUCUAACCCGCACCACUUAUCGUGGUGGGAGACAGUGUCAGGCGGGCAGUUUGACUGGGGCGGUCGCCUCCUAAAAGGUAACGGAGGCGCUCAAAGGUUCCCUCAGAAUGGUUGGAAAUCAUUCAUAGAGUGUAAAGGCAUAAGGGAGCUUGACUGCGAGACCUACAAGUCGAGCAGGGUCGAAAGACGGACUUAGUGAUCCGGUGGUUCCGCAUGGAAGGGCCAUCGCUCAACGGAUAAAAGCUACCCCGGGGAUAACAGGCUUAUCUCCCCCAAGAGUUCACAUCGACGGGGAGGUUUGGCACCUCGAUGUCGGCUCAUCGCAUCCUGGGGCUGUAGUCGGUCCCAAGGGUUGGGCUGUUCGCCCAUUAAAGCGGUACGCGAGCUGGGUUCAGAACGUCGUGAGACAGUUCGGUCCCUAUCCGUCGUGGGCGUAGGAAAUUUGAGAGGAGCUGUCCUUAGUACGAGAGGACCGGGAUGGACAUACCUCUGGUGUACCAGUUGUCGUGCCAACGGCAUAGCUGGGUAGCUAUGUGUGGACGGGAUAAGUGCUGAAAGCAUCUAAGCAUGAAGCCCCCCUCAAGAUGAGAUUUCCCAACUUCGGUUAUAAGAUCCCUCAAAGAUGAUGAGGUUAAUAGGUUCGAGGUGGAAGCAUGGUGACAUGUGGAGCUGACGAAUACUAAUCGAUCGAAGACUUAAUCAA
rnacentral:rRNA from 1 species